UUAAUUGAAACCAAAAAGAGGUAAAUCAUUGUUAAUGAUUGUAUUGGGAAAUAAAACCCCAAUUAAG
rnacentral:tRNA from 1 species